rnacentral:rRNA from 1 species
GGGUCAGUAGGUUGGUCGUGCCACCGGUACGUACUGGUCUCACUGAUUCCUCCUUCCUGAAGAACCGUAAUGCCAUUAAUUUGGUGUUGCGGGGAAACAGGACUGUUACUUUGAAAAAAUGAGAGUGUUUAAAGCAGGCUAACGCUUGAAUACAUUAGCAUGGAAUAAUGAAAUAGGACGAUCGAUCCUAUUUUGUUGGUUUCUAGGAUUGACGUA